rnacentral:rRNA from 1 species
AUACGGAGGGUGCAAGCGUUACUCGGAACCACUGGGCGUAAAGCGCGCGCAGGCGGGCUGAUAAGUUGGAUGUGAAAGCCUACGGCUCAACCGUAGAACUGCAUCCAAAACUGUCAGUCUAGAGUGUGGGAGAGGAAGAUGGAAUUAGUUGUGUAGGGGUAAAAUCCGUAGAGAUAACUAGGAAUACCAAAAGCGAAGGCAAUCUUCUGGAACACUACUGACGCUGAGGCGCGAAGGCGUGGGGAGUAAACAGGAUUAGAAACCCUAGAGUCC